GCUCUUCCUAUCUGCAAACACCUUUAUUACACGAGCUAUGAAGGAUGGCUUAUUUGCCUUUCUGGGCUUUGAUCUUCC